CAACCCGUUGAGCUCAUUUUCCCAGGCCUCUCUCUGGUUCUCGACUACCAGGAUUUCAAAUCCUUGCCUCUAUUCUCUUGGAUUCCAACCCUGCUUCUGCUGCCUCCAUCUUUAUGGGGAACUUUGAUUUUCAGCCUUUUGAAUUUCAGCUUUUCAUUGAACUUUGCUCCUUCCUUGCCUGUGACACCUUCUGAAGCCUUUUCCAGUUCUGGCCUAAGGAAUCCAAGGGACAGGUGGGUCCCAGCCUCUCUCCUGCCUGAGGAAGUGGGAUUUAGCUCCUAAAAGAAGAGAAUAAUGCCUUCUGGAAGAUCUGGAGUCCUUACCAGGGCACUGACGCCAGUGCUGGUGUCUAAUAUUUAAGAUGCCAAUGUCCUUGCAAAGCAGCCAGUACCUUUCUUCCUGCCAAAUCUACUGACUACACUGCUGUUGAUUUGAUGGUAUUGUUUUGGGAUCUGAGUCUCAUGGGAAACUUGUGAAAUAGUCCUUUUAGAUUUUCUGCUUGUGACUGCAGUUUUUUCUUUUUGGGGCUCAGGCAUCAAUCCAUAGAGGCUGGAAUGAAGGAUAAUCUGAGUGGCACAUACUGCACUGCUACAAUUAGAACUCCUCUUCUCUUACUGACUCGAAGAGUCCUAGGAACCCUUGCAUCUUACAGAUUGACUUAUUUCCCAGGAUAUUUCUAGACUACUCAUGCAAUUAGAUUACUGAGGGCCCGGGCCACUAGCCCUUAAAACCUGCCCAGACAUGUCUGAAUCAGAGGGUGAAAACAGCACAGGUUCAGGUUACAUAAAUAUGAUCCUGUUGUUGUGCUAUUUAGAAUUUUUUAAUGGCAAUUUUUUAAUGACUUCUUUUGUCUCUUAACAUGGCCUUACAAGGUAUUUGCAUAUCCUGCUUCAGUGCAUCUUUCCCAGCCAGGGACAGACCAUGCUCCGACUUUCUAGUUCAGCCAUACUAAGUUAUUUUAAGCACCCACAUUUCAUGGAUUUGUUAGACUUCUCAUGUCUCCAUGCUUUACUGUGAUGUUCACAUUAGGUUAGCCACCCAUGCCUCACCACCACCCCGAAGUAUCAUACUAUCUUGGGAUAUUUUUAUCACUGCCAUACUCCUUUAUAUGAGAUAUCUAUUGAUGUUUAACAAAUUACCCUGAAAACCAGUGCCUUAAGAUGAUAAACAUUUAUUGAAUCACACUUUCUGAGGGUCAGAAGAAAUCCAGGCAUGGCUUAACAGGGUCCUUUAUUUCAGUGUCUUUUACAAGGUUACACUCGAGAUGCGAAUCAAAGCAGUG
rnacentral:lncRNA from 12 species